AAUCAACGCUGGCGGCGUGCCUCAGACAUGCAAGUCGAACGAUUAAAGCUCUCUUCGGAGAGUGUAUAGAGUGGCGCACGGGUGAGUAACACGUAAGUAAUCUACCUUUGAGUGGGGAAUAACGUCCGGAAACGGACGCUAAUACCGCAUAAUGCAGCGGCAUCGCAAGAUGACAGUUGUUAAAGAUUUAUCGCUUGAAGAGGAGCUUGCGGCAGAUUAGCUAGUUGGUAAGGUAAUGGCUUACCAAGGCUACGAUCUGUAACCGGUCUAAGAGGACGGUCGGUCACACUGACACUGAAUAACGGGUC
rnacentral:rRNA from 1 species